rfam:Bacillus glycinifermentans strain GO-13 contig_41, whole genome shotgun sequence.
AAUUUCAUACCGGGAGCACGGUAAUCUAGCGUGACGUUAGAUUUUAAAAGGGAAGAUUGGUGAAAAUCCAACGCGGUCCCGCCACUGUAAUUGAGAAGGUUAUUUCAGAGAAAACCCACUGUUUCGAUAUGGGAAGGGUGAAAUAACCGCUGAUUCAUGAGCCAGGAGACCUGCCUGUUCUGACACACCAUA